AUCUCUAACAGUCAGCCUUAGAACUCCAAUAAUAAACCCAGUCAUUGAUAUAAAUAUUACACAUACAGUGACCGCCUCUAGUGUUUAUAUCUCUAACAGUCAGCCUUAGAACUCCAAUAAUAAAUCCAGUCAUUGAUAUAAAUAUUACACACACAGUGACCGCCUCUAGUGUUUAUAUCUCUAACAGUCAGCCUUAGAACUCCAAUAAUAAACCCAGUCAUUGAUAUAAAUAUUACACAUACAGUGACCGCCUCUAGUGUUUAUAUCUCUAACAGUCAGCCUUAGAACUCCAAUAAUAAAUCCAGUCAUUAAUAUAAAUAUUACACACACGGUGACCGCCUCUAGUGUUUAUAUCUCUAACAGUCAGCCUUAGAACUCCAAUAAUAAACCCAGUCAUUGAUAUAAAUAUUACACACACAGUGACCGCCUCUAGUGUUUAUAUCUCUAACAGUCAGCCUUAGAACUCCAAUAAUAAACCCAGUCAUUAAUAUAAAUAUUACACACACAGUCACCGCCUCUAGUGUUUAUAUCUCUAACAGUCAGCCUUAGAACUCCAAUAAUAAACCCAGUCAUUAAUAUAAAUAUUACACAUACGGUGUCC